UACGGGGGGUGCGAGCGUUGUCCGGAAUCACUGGGCGUAAAGGGCGCGUAGGUGGCGUGAUAAGGGUGUGGUGAAAGCCUGGGGCUCAACCCCGGGUCUGCCAUGCCGACUGUCAGGCUGGAGUACUGUAGGGGCAGGCGGAAUUCCGGGUGUAGCGGUGGAAUGCGUAGAGAUCGGAAAGAACACCAACGGCGAAAGCACUCUGCUGGGCCGACACUGACACUGAGAGACGAAAGCUAGGGGAGCGAAUGGG
rnacentral:rRNA from 1 species